rnacentral:rRNA from 1 species
AACGAACGCUGGCGGCGUGCUUAACACAUGCAAGUCGAACGUGAAUCACCCUUCGGGGUGAGGAAAGUGGCGCACGGGUGAGUAACACGUGGAUAAUCUACCCGAUGAUCCGGGAUAACACUUCGAAAGGGGUGCUAAUACCGGAUAAGCCCACGGGCUCUUAGGAGCUUGCGGGAAAAGGUGGGGAACCUUCGGGUCCUACCGUCAACGGAUGAGUCCGCGUCCCAUUAGCUAGUUGGUGGGGUAAUGGCCUACCAAGGCUACGAUGGGUAGCUGGUCUGAGAGGAUGAUCAGCCACACUGGAACUGAGACACGGUCCAGACUCCUACGGGAGGCAGCAGUGGGGAAUUUUGCGCAAUGGGGGAAAGCCUGACGCAGCAACGCCGCGUGAGUGAUGAAGGUUUUCGGAUCGUAAAGCUCUGUCAGGGG